UGGUACAUACACUACCUCUUCUUUAAGUACAAAGUCUACAACCACAUCAGAUCCUCCAAAUAUUUGUAAAGUGAAACCCCAGCAGUUACAGACAAGCAGCCUGCCUUCUGCAAGUCAUUUUUCACAGUUGAGCUGUAUGCCUUCCCUUAUUGCCCAGCAGCAACAGAGUCCACAAGUUUAUGUGUCUCAGUCUGCAGCAGCUCAAAUCCCAGCGUUCUACAUGGACACAAGUCAUUUAUUUAAUACCCAGCAUGCACGAUUGGCUCCACCGUCCUUGGCUCAGCAGCAAGGCUUCCAACCUGGUCUCUCUCAGCCAGCUUCCGUGCAGCAGAUCCCAAUCCCUA